rnacentral:rRNA from 1 species
AAAGUUAAGUAGUUUAAGUUGUGUGCAAGUGGUAGGAGAGCGUUCUAUUUGCGUCGAAGGUAUACCGGUAAGGAGUGCUGGAGCGAAUAGAAGUGAGCAUGCAGGCAUGAGUAGCGAUAAUUAAUGUGAGAAUCAUUAACGCCGUAAACCCAAGGUUUCCUACGCGAUGCUCGUCAUCGUAGGGUUAGUCGGGUCCUAAGUCGAGUCCGAAAGGGGUAGACGAUGGCAAAUUGGUUAAUAUUCCAAUACCAACAUUAGUGUGCGAUGGAAGGACGCUUAGGGCUAAGGGGGCUAGCGGAUGGAAGUGCUAGUCUAAGGUUGUAGGAGGUUAUACAGGCAAAUCCGUAUAACAAUACUCCGAGAACUGAAAGGCUUUUUGAAGUCUUCGGAUGGAUAGAAGAACCCCUGAUGCCGUCGAGCCAAGAAAAGUUUCUAAGUUUAGCUAAUGUUGCCCGUACCGUAAACCGACACAGGUGGGUGGGAUGAGUAUUCUAAGGCGCGUGGAAGAACUCUCUUUAAGGAACUCUGCAAAAUAGCACCGUAUCUUCGGUAUAAGGUGUGGUUAGCUUCGUACUAGGAUUUACUCCGAAAGCGAAGAAACUUACAACAAAGAGUCCCUCCCG